AGCCUAUUUUCACACUGCUAUAAAGAAAUACCCAAGACUGGGUAAUUUAUAAAGGAAAGAGGUUUAAUUGACUCACAGUUCUGCAUGGCUGGGGAGGCCUCAGGAAACUUACAAUCAUGGCAGAAGGUGUAGGGAAAGCAAGGCAUGUCUUACAUGGCAGCAGGAGAGAACAGAGCGGUGGGGAUCUGCCAAACACUUUUUAAAACCACCAGAUCUCAUAAGACUUCAUUCACUAUCACAAGCACAGCAUGGGGUAAACUGCCCCCAUAAUCCAAUCACCUCCCACCAGGUCCCUCCCUUGUCACGUGGGGAUUACAAUUCAAGAUGAGAUUUGGGUGGGGACACAGAAACAAACCUUAUCUCUGCAAGUGUCUCCUUAAAUUUUGCACCUUAGGCAAUAUACUUGCUUCAUCCUAGUCUUUGCUCUGGUCCCCAGCAUUCACUCUCCUCUUCCAUUUUUUAGCAGUAGAAUAUUUUCAAGUUUUAGUUUGGAGACCACAUUUCUAACUUUACUUUCAGAUCUGUGUAUGUGUGUCUAGCAUUCAGCAAACGGGAAAUGAACAGAAAUAUUAUAUUCAACUUCUAGAUGGCAGCAUCUUUUAAAAGAAUUAAGCUGCUUAUCCACUAAGCUCUGUAUCCUCGUUUCAUGUGAGCCGUCUGUAGUUAUCUGGCUAGUCGACAGUCCCUAAGGGAUAACAGUACAAUGAAACAAAAGGGACCACGUGGUCUUUGAAUGACAUUGUGGGACAGAUUAUCUGCCUUGAACUAUAAUGUGGAGUGUUACAUGAGAGAUAAAUAAAUUUAUAUUUAUUUUUGAUCCACUGUAUUUUGGAGUGUUCGUUGCUUUAAAACACAAAGUCAAUCAGUCUUCUGGGUUUUUAAUCUUAAGCUCAGUGAAACCAAGACAGAAAAAGCAGUUGGAGCUAAUUCCAGUAGCAGCAUAUUGACAAGAGAUUUUAGGGAUUUCUGUAGCCUGGACGAUCUACACUAGAGCUAUAUUUUAACUCCUGUUCAAUCUUGAACCUGUUUUAGAAAUGUUUCAUUAAUUUUGUGACUUCUCUGUUAUCUUUUCUACAAAUACAAUUUGCUGAAUUUUGCCAGAAUUAAUUGUGUUACUUGUAACAAUAAUCACAUUCAUACUUUCCCAUAUUUUGGAAUAUUUUCUAAUGAUAGAUUUGCAAGCAUUGGGAUUACUAAGGCAACAUUCUUGACAGUUUUUCUAGACUUUGAUAUAAAUACCUAUCUAUGUGAUUCCAGAGGCCAAACUAAAUAAAAAAAAAUAUUCUUUAUACUUGCAGGAGAUGACAAAAGUAAAGUAAUUGCUUUCUUUACAGGGAAGUAUUUUAGAGAAGGAAAAGGGAAUAACUUUUUUCCAUAUGACCUUCUGUGAUAAUGUGUGGCUAUUGCUGUAAUUGUGCUAAUGAGAUAAUUAUGCCUAGGUCCUUUAGUAAAGGCAACAUACCAACAUUAAACUUUAGGCAUACAAUAGCUUUAUACCAAAGACACAGCUUGGUAUGUGUAUAGUAUGUAGUUUGACUGUGUUGUGACAGGAGGGAAGGGGUCUGAAAAGGGAAGGCUAGAGUGAAAAAGACACGUGGAGAAAAGAGAUAUAAUAAAAAAGUGCAGGGCAUUGGUAUAUUAACUGGUUCACCUCCUAGUGAAUCAGAAAGCAAGGCUUUGGUUGUAAGGAUGACUAAUGUUAACGAUUCUUUGCCUAUUGUUUACAAUCUAACUUGUAGUUCCUUUUAUAAAUGAAAAAAAAAUUCUGUGAUUGUAUAUUCAAUUACUCUGCUUUGGAGGUCCAGUACCAAAAGUGAACACAGUUGUGGGUUUUAAUAAACAUUUGUUUAGAAUCCAUCCCAUUCCUGGCCGGGUGCGGUGGUUUAAUUUACUUAUUAAAAAUUUAGCAAAUGAAGUCUGUGUUAAAUGAAAAACAGGUUUGUGACUUUCCAUGAAGGUCAGGGCAACCACAUUUUGAAAUCAUUAGCAAUGCUACUUGGUUCAGAGAGUUAGUUUACCGCAUAUUUUUAAGGCAAAACUCUUUAAUCUACUUGGGAAAAAAAAGACAUUUUUUUCCCUGAGAUUCAUAUUUCUUUCCUGCACAGAUUUAGCCACGGAAUUGACACAUUAAAAUUUUCAAAGGAUAAUAAAAACAUGACACUUGAAAGUUUUCAAAACUUGGCUUAUUUACAAAUUUUUCAGUAUUUUAUUAUACGUUAUUUCUGUUCUAUUAAAUCUGAAAACAAAGAAUCUUCACUGUUUAUUCAAGUAAUAUUCACUCAUUCAAAUUAGACACAUUUUUAAUUUUUUUAAUUUUUUUUUUUUUUUUUUUUUGAGACAGAGUCUCACUCUGUCACCCAGGCUGGAGUGCAGUGUCAUGAU
rnacentral:lncRNA from 1 species